rnacentral:rRNA from 1 species
CCUACGGGUGGCAGCAGUGGGGAAUAUUGGGCAAUGGAGGAAACUCUGACCCAGCAAUGCCGCGUGAAUGAAGAAGGUCUUCGGAUUGUAAAGUUCUUUAGUCAGGGAAGAAAAAAAUGACGGUACCUGAAGAAUAAGCUCCGGCUAACUACGUGCCAGCAGCCGCGGUAAUACGUAGGGAGCAAGCGUUGUUCGGAAUGACUGGGUGUAAAGGGUGCGUAGGGGGUUAUAAAAGGUAAGAGGGGAAUACCCAGGGCUUAACUUGGGUGCGGCUUCUAAAACUGUACGACUUGAGAGCAGUAGGGGUAGGUGGAAUGUAUGGUGUAGCGGUGAAAUGCAUAGAUAUAA